GACGUAGGGCGCGAGCGUUGUCCGGAUUUAUUGGGCGUAAAGAGCUCGUAGGCGGCUUGUUGCGUCAGCUGUGGAAACCCGCAGCUCAACUGUGGGCUUGCAGCUGAUACGGGCAGGCUUGAGUUCGGUAGGGGAGACUGGAAUUCCUGGUGUAGCGGUGGAAUGCGCAGAUAUCAGGAGGAACACCGGUGGCGAAGGCGGCAUCCUGGACCGAUACUGACGCUGAGGAGCGAAAGCCAGGGGAGCAAACGGG
rnacentral:rRNA from 1 species